ACUUCAUAUGAUGUUUUGGUGAUAUAAACCAGCAAGAAGAUCUUCUUAGAGGUAUAUACAACUUUGUUUUCAGCUUCAUUGAAGUCAGCUUUAUUUAGACAUGGAACACAUUUGAAGGUAAACCUUUUCAAAAUCCUCAAUCGACCUGUUUUAUAUUGUACAGUUUGACAUCUCUUGCACAUGAAUGACUAUUCAUUGAUAGUGCCUGCAAAGAUGUGGCUGUAGUUGUUUCUUUGUCUGCACGAUCAUUCUUAAAUUUGUGACAUAUAGAUUGGCUCUCACGCAUA
rnacentral:rRNA from 1 species